UCUCCUGGAAAAGGGUGGUAAUGCCGGAUGCUCCAGUUGAUCGCAUGGUCUUCUGGGAAAGCUUUCGCGGUAUGGGAUGGGGUCGCGUCCUAUCAGCUUGACGGCGGGGUAACGGCCCACCGUGGCUUCGACGGGUAGCCGGCCUGAGAGGGCGACCGGCCACAUUGGGACUGAGAUACGGCCCAGACUCCUACGGGAGGCAGCAGUGGGGAAUAUUGCACAAUGGGCGCAAGCCUGAUGCAGCGACGCCGCGUGAGGGAUGGAGGCCUUCGGGUUGUAAACCUCUUUUAUCGGGGAGCAAGCGAGAGUGAGUUUACCCGUUGAAUAAGCACCGGCUAACUACGUGCCAGCAGCCGCGGUAAUACGUAGGGUGCAAGCGUUAUCCGGAAUUAUUGGGCGUAAAGGGCUCGUAGGCGGUUCGUCGCGUCCGGUGUGAAAGUCCAUCGCUUAACGGUGGAUCCGCGCCGGGUACGGGCGGGCUUGAGUGCGGUAGGGGAGACUGGAAUUCCCGGUGUAACGGUGGAAUGUGUAGAUAUCGGAAAGAACACCAGC
rnacentral:rRNA from 1 species